rnacentral:RNase_MRP_RNA from 1 species
CCGCGAAGCCUUCCCUUCGGAGACGCACAAACAAGCGCUUGCUUCCCCCUUCGGGGGUUCGCGACCGUUUCCCCCAAAACGUCUCCGGGCGAAAGUCCCCGGACACCAGGGCAGAAAGUGCCAGCCAUAAGGGCCGGAC